ACUUAAGUGAUGCUGAGGUGGUUUGCAGACAGAUAAACUGUGGAUCAGCACUGGAAAUUCCUCCAUCAGCUCACUUUGGUGCAGGAACUGGACAGAUUUGGCUUGACAAUGUGACCUGUUCAGGAAAUGAAAGUUCUCUAACUGAGUGUCAACACAAUGGAUUUGGAUCAAACAGAUGUGAGCAUAGUCAGAAUGCUGCUGUCAUCUGUUCAGAUCUGAUCAGAUUAGCUGGGUCUGGAUCUUCUCGAUGCGCUGGCAGAGUUGAAAUCUUUCACAAUAACAUCUGGGGAACAGUCUCUGAUUGGUACUGGAACUUGAAUGAUGCUGAGGUGGUUUGCAGACAGUUAAACUGUGGGUCGGCACUAGAAGCUACUCAAUCAUCUAAAUUUGGUGCAGGAACUGGACAGGUCUGGCUCACUGAUGUGACCUGUUCAGGAAAUGAAAGUUCUCUUACUGAAUGUCAACACACUGGAUGGGGAAACUACUAUUACUACAACUAUUACAACUACUACUACUACUACAACUACUAUGGACAUUCUUAUGAUGUUGGUGUCAUCUGUUCAGGUGAGAUCAGAUUGGCUGGAUCUGGAUCAACUCGAUGUUCU